rnacentral:rRNA from 1 species
UACGGAGGGUGCUAGCGUUGUUCGGAAUUACUGGGCGUAAAGAGCUCGUAGGCGGUUUGUCGCGUCUGCCGUGAAAGUCCGGGGCUCAACUCCGGAUCUGCGGUGGGUACGGGCAGACUAGAGUGAUGUAGGGGAGACUGGAAUUCCUGGUGUAGCGGUGAAAUGCGCAGAUAUCAGGAGGAACACCGAUGGCGAAGGCAGGUCUCUGGGCAUUAACUGACGCUGAGGAGCGAAAGCAUGGGGAGCGAACAGG